AUUGCUUUACCUCCAAUUUCUGGGGCCUGAAGAAUUUUAAGAUUGCAUUUUCUGGAAAUCACCUUCUUAUCAUUAAUUCUAAACAAUUCCCCAAUCCCCAAAGAAGCCCUUCCUCAUUCCAGUUUGGAAUGUGGUUAUGAGAAGCAAGUAGGGAUUCACUUGAUGGUGCAAACAGUGCUGGACCAGGAUCCUAAUUCUCAGGCACGGCAUGGGCUAGAGUUAGAAACUUACAUCAGCAGGACUGUCUCAGAUCUCACUAUGACACCUCAUGUAUGAAGCUGAUAACUUAAGACCAUUUCCUAUAGAUGAGUAACAACACAAGCAGUGUAUGGUGCCAGUGGUAGAUGGCUACCUGGGGAAGCUGGAGGCCAACUGGAAGAGUCUGAAUGGAGUCCCCUGGCACAUGAUCUGUUUCUUCCUGGCUGCUUGCAAAAUUUUCUCUUUGAUUUGGGAGCUGUGGAUCUUGGCAACCAUAUUU